rnacentral:pre_miRNA from 1 species
UAAUUACUCCCUCCGUCCGAAAAUACUUGUCAGAGAAAUGGAUAAAAAUGGAUGUAUCUAAAACUAAAAUGUGUCUAGAUACAUUUAUUUCUCCGACAAGUAUUUCCGGACGGAGGGAGUACUCU